AGUGAACGCUGGCGGUAGGCCUAACACAUGCAAGUCGAACGGCAGCACAGAGGAGCUUGCUCCUUGGGUGGCGAGUGGCGGACGGGUGAGGAAUACAUCGGAAUCUACUCUGUCGUGGGGGAUAACGUAGGGAAACUUACGCUAAUACCGCAUACGACCUACGGGUGAAAGCAGGGGAUCUUCGGACCUUGCGCGAUUGAAUGAGCCGAUGUCGGAUUAGCUAGUUGGCGGGGUAAAGGCCCACCAAGGCGACGAUCCGUAGCUGGUCUGGGAGGAUGAUCAGCCACACUGGAACUGAGACACGGUCCAGACUCCUACGGGAGUCAGCAGUGGGGAAUAUUGGACAAUGGGCGCAAGCCUGAUCCAGCCAUACCGCGUGGGUGAAGAAGGCCUUCGGGUUGUAAAGCCCUUUUGUUGGGAAAGAAAUCCAGCUGGCUAAUACCCGGUUGGGAUGACGGUACCCGAAGAAUAAGCACCGGCUAACUUCGUGCCAGCCGCCGCCGUAA
rnacentral:rRNA from 1 species